AUGGCACUGGGAUUCACCAAGUUUGAUGUGGAGAAAUUCGAUGGCACGGGUAACUUCGGUCUAUGGCAGACAAGAGUCAAGGAUAUUCUGGCGCAGCAGGGAAUCUUGAAGGGUUUGCAGGAGACGAAGCCGGCCAAGGUUGACAAUGAUGCGUGGGAGGAUAUGCAAGUGCAGGCGGCCGCUACCAUACGGCUUUGUCUUGCGGAUCAGGUCAUGUAUCAUGUCAUGGACGAAGAUACUCCUAAGGGAAUUUGGGACAAGUUGGCAAAUCGUUAUAUGUCCAAGUCAGGGACCAAUAAGCUGUAUUUGAAGCAAAAGUUCUAUGGGUUGAAGAUGCAGGAGGGGUCGGAUCUUGUGGAGCAUGUGAAUGCCUUUAAUCAA
rnacentral:rRNA from 1 species